UACAGAGGGGGCAAGCGUUAUUCGGAAUUAUCGGGCGUAAAGGGCGCGUAGGCGGCUUGGCAAGUGGAAGGUGAAAUCCCUCGGCUUAACCGAGGAACUGCCCUCCAAACUGCUUCGCUUGAGACCGGGAGAGGUGAGUGGAAUUCCCAGUGUAGCGGUGAAAUGCGUAGAUAUUGGGAGGAACACCAGUGGCGAAGGCGGCUCACUGGACCGGUACUGACGCUGAUGCGCGAAAGCGUGGGGAGCAAACGGG
rnacentral:rRNA from 1 species